UACGAAGGGUGCAAGCGUUAAUCGGAAUUAUUGGGCGUAAAGGGCGCGUAGGCGGGCCAUUAAGUUUGCUGUUAAAUCCUCUGGCUUAACCAGAGACAAGCAAUAAAAACUGGUAACCUAGAGCGUGAGAGAGAGAAGUGGAAUUCCCGGAGUAGCGGUAAAAUGCGUAGAUCUCGGGAGGAACACCAAUGGCGAAGGCUGCUUCUUGGCUCAUUGCUGACGCUGAGGCGCGAAAGCGUGGGGAGCAAACAGG
rnacentral:rRNA from 1 species